AUGUGAUUCUGGAUAUUCCGGAGAUGGAUUUAAUUGCACAGAUGUUGACGAAUGCGUAACAUCCCCAUGUCAUCUUAAUGCUACAUGCAAUAACACUGACGGAUCUUAUAUUUGCACAUGUGAUUCUGGAUAUUCUGGAGAUGGAUUUACUUGCACAGAUGUUGACGAAUGCGUA